CUACGUGCCAGCAGCCGCGGUAAUACGGAGGAUGCGAGCGUUAUCCGGAUUUAUUGGGUUUAAAGGGUGCGUAGGCGGUUUGUUAAGUCAGCGGUGAAAUCUAGAGGCUCAACCUCGAAACUGCCGUUGAAACUGGCGAACUUGAGUGUAGAUGAGGUAGGCGGAAUUCGUGGUGUAGCGGUGAAAUGCAUAGAUAUCACGAGGAACUCCGAUUGCGAAGGCAGCUUACUAAGGUACAACUGACGCUGAAGCACGAAAGCGUGGGUAUCAAACAGGAUUAGAUACCCUGGUAGUCCACGCAGUAAACGAUGAUAACUGGGCGUAUGCGAUAUACAGUAUGCYCCUAAGCGAAAGCGUUAAGUUAUCCACCUGGGGAGUACGCCGGCAACGGUGAAACUCAAAGGAAUUGACGGGGGCCCGCACAAGCGGAGGAACAUGUGGUUUAAUUCGAUGAUACGCGAGGAACCUUACCCGGGAU
rnacentral:rRNA from 1 species